GUACUCACUACAGCAGCACAUAUACUGAAAUCGGAAGGAUACAGAGAAGAUGAGUGUGGCGCCUACGCACGGAUGACAUGCAAAUUCGUGAAGCCUUCCAUAUUUCU
rnacentral:snRNA from 1 species